GACGAACGCUGGCGGCGUGCUUAACACAUGCAAGUCGAACGGAAAGGCCCUGCUUUUGUGGGGUGCUCGAGUGGCGAACGGGUGAGUAACACGUGAGUAACCUGCCCUUGACUUUGGGAUAACUUCAGGAAACUGGGGCUAAUACCGGAUAGGAGCUCCUGCUGCAUGGUGGGGGUUGGAAAGUUUCGGCGGUUGGGGAUGGACUCGCGGCUUAUCAGCUUGUUGGUGGGGUAGUGGCUUACCAAGGCUUUGACGGGUAGCCGGCCUGAGAGGGUGACCGGCCACAUUGGGACUGAGAUACGGCCCAGACUCCUACGGGAGGCAGCAGUGGGGAAUAUUUCACAAUGGGCGGAAGCCUGAUGCAGCAACGCCGCGUGCGGGAUGACGGCCUUCGGGUUGUAAACCGCUUUCGCCUGUGACGAAGCGUGAGUGACGGUAAUGGGUAAAGAAGCACCGGCUAACUACGUG
rnacentral:rRNA from 1 species